UAGAUUCACUCUCUAAACUCCUAUUUGAGAAUUUCAAUCUAUUAAUUAUUUUCAAAUGAUUAUAAUAUCGUAUCCCAUUGAUCGAUCACCUUAGUUCUCCCAAGCUAGUCACUCAUUUUUUUGAUAUAAGCAAAUCUGAUACACUCCAUUUCAAGGUACGGAUCAAUUUUUUCCUAAGUUUUGGAACAUCCAAAAAACAUUCCUGCAAAAACAAGAAAGAUACAAUAAGAAAUAAACAAAGCUCUUUAAAUGAGCACCAUAUAAGCAAUAAAAGAACUUCACAAAUAAUUGAAGAAGCCUUUGAAUGUACCCCUUAGCUGAAAGAGAGCAAUGAAAAUUGUUGGAAGAGAUGGUUGGAAUUAAAAUGAAUGCUUCUUACACUAAAUGCUUCAAUCUUUUUGGAGAGUUUUUUUUUUAUUAUUCUUGAUGUGUUUUUCCUCCUUUUGAAAGCCUUUAUAGUCUCAAUAAAUGUUGGAUAACUUUUACUAGCCAUUUAGAGUUAUUGGAGAAUGGUUGAAGGACAUUAAUUGCAUCAAAAUUAGGCUUAAAAACUAGCCAUUAUAAGCUAUCAGAGCUCAAGGGUCAAUCCAUGGGUCGCCCCUAUCACAGGGGUUGACCCAAGGGUUGCUCCUUGUUGCAAAACAGAGCUCUGAGCCUAUGUUUGGCCCUGUGACAUAGCAAGAAUCGACCCUAGGGUCACCGCCUAUGGCAUGCCAAGCCAAAUUGACAUGCCAGUGACCCCAAAACUUAAGGAGAUUACUCAGGGAUCAUCCUCUGAGAUUCAAGAGUCAGCUCCUGAUGUCUGAAAAGUGAUUUUCUCAUAUUUUUUAUCUUUAAACAUUGUGAAAUCACCUUUUAUCCUUUCAAAAUCAUCUUGAAUGCUCUUGAGGCUCUCAAAAACUAUCAUCCUUGUCUCCAACUUAAAAAAUUUGAAUCUUUGGCCUUCUCCAACAAUCCUUAUUAGUUUGAAAUUCUUGACUUUCUUGAAACACACUUUUAAGCUUCUUCAAAGAUAUAUAAAUAUUAGUAUUCUUCUUGAAUAUUUUAUGAUUAUCAAAAUCAAUUCUUGAAUCAACAAUCUUUCUCUUUUUGAUGAUAACAAAAUAUUGAGUAUUAGUGGAAUAAAAUGUGUCAAACAUAGGAGCAAAACAAUGCCAUUAAAAAUGUUUGAGUAUAGGAUCAAAGCAUAUACAAAUGUAUUAGAUUGAUGCAUCUUAUUAGAGCAAAAUGAAUCAAACAAGAUGAUCAAGUAUCAAGAUAGAAAUUGAAGUAAUAACUUUUGAUAAAACGGUAAAGGGCCUGAUCCUAGAAUUGGCAUCAGAGUGAACUUAGAGCAAAAAAUCAAUAAAUCAAAGGACAUUGACUAAGCAAGCAUAUUCUUCUAGUUAUACAUAAAUAAUAUAUCUACUCUCCUUUUUUGGCAUCAUCAAUCUAGAUAAGCAAAAAGUACUUCAUAGGUCAAACAUAAGGUAUUUGCUGUCAAACUAUAGGGUACAAUAUCAUUCAUAAUCAAGAACAUUAUGAUAUCAAGGGUCACAUAGUAUCAGAAGCAACAUUAACAUCCAUAACAGAAUAUAUUAAGAGUCACACAAUGUCAUAAUACAAAAUAUUAGACAAAAUACAUUAAGGAUCACAUCAUAAAACAUAAUGUCAGAUACUAUAUUAGCCAAAAUACAUCAAGAUAUACAACAACAGCCAACAUCCAUAACAACCUCAUGAAUCAAGAGUUUAAUAAGAGGCAAGAAACCACAAACCUAAUCCUAGUCUGAGGAAGAAGAAAUCUCCUAAUGAACAAAGGGUCUGGAUGAGGCAUGACUAUGCCCACUCUUAGUCCUACUAGAGGAUCCAACAUCACUGGAGGAGCAAGAGCGUCUAGAUGGCUAAAAGGGUCUAUAGAUUAUCUAAGAGGAUUGGAUAGUUUUAGAAGCUAACUGAACUUUGAGUAAAUCAAGUUGAGCUAUCAUUCUCUACAUGAACUAUAGAAGAGAGGCGAUCUUAGUGAUGACAUCAUCACUCAUGCCUCUCAUCUCCCCCUCCCUAUUGAAAUGCUGACCAUAUCAAUCUUCUCAGCCUGCCUGCCUCAACCAUCAAGUCCGACAAAUGAGUAGUAUCAUCAAUACUCGAUCUAGUAGGAUGAGUCAAUCUCCUUAUCUCUCUCUUCAGAUCAAAAACUCUAGCACUAAGUCCGGCAAUAAUGUCCUCCAGUCGCUCAACUCUCAAGCUCAGGUCAGAAAGCAUUUGAGUUACAGUAGAAAUAUGGUAUACCAUAGAUAGUUCAGAAGAAGAUGUCAUAUAGUAACUCUCUCUUUGAGAAACAUCUCAGACUACUAGCAGAAAGCCUGCUACUUGCUUUGAAAUCAUCCAAAACCUGAUUAUCCUCCAAUUUGAUAGAUAAACGGCAAGAAUGACUCAUAGAUUGGGGCUUAGUGGGGUCUCUAUCAACUAUCUUAGAAGAGGGGCCUAUCUCAUGCUGAGAAAUAAAGCAAAUAUUGAGGCUCUAUCUGGCCUCUCGAGGGAGUGAAGAGGGUCCCUCCCCCUAGCUCUAUCCUCCUCAUCAUCAUCACCAUCUGCUCUAUCUGUACCUCUUCUCUUCAUCCAAUGACUAUUUACUUUUGUAAAAUCCAUUUGACGAAGAGAAUGAUUGUUGUAGGUAUUAGUAUGUACUAGAUGGCUGGUGGUCUCUCCCUCAAAGCUAAUUCAAAACCUCCUAAACACAAGCAUGAGUUCCAUCCUACGGGGUAAAGGAGCUUUAGACCAAUUUAUAGCCUCAUGCAUGACCUCCAUCAUGAGAGCAAGGAGAUUCAAAGGAAUCUCAUAAAUGAUAUGGUACAUGACACAGAUGUCCCACUUAGAGAUAAAAUCAUAUCUUUCUACCCCAGAGAAAAAAAUCCUACUCACAAUAUGAUGAAGCAGUCUUAUUUCUAAAUUCAAAUCUUUUGCAUCAACUUUAUCAAAUUCUCCCACAUUUUCUCUAGUCAAAAUAUACUAAAUACCAAUAUUUCUCUAUUCAAACACAUCUAAGCUAGUGCCUUCAUGAGGCAACUGCAUGAUCCGAGCAAGAAGAUGUGUGUCCAACUAAUCUAUGCGCUUCACCAUGGAGCUUACUUAAUUCUUGGACCAAAUCAACAUAUAUAGUACCUUUAAGCAUAUGCAAAAAAUCCCAUCGUUGACCUUUAAUCUUCUCCCCAAUUAUAAACCCCUCUUUCUCUAGAAAUCUAAAGUCUAUCUUUCUUCCCAUAGAAAAAUUUCUAGUAGAAAAGGGAAACCUUAUUUGGAGUUCUUGGGAGGAGAGGAAGUGGUUUGAACUUGGGCUGCCUUUUUCCUUCUUUCUUCCUCUUCUUGAACACAAGCUAAUUUUCUCCUUUAAAGAAGCUUCAUCUUGGGUGCCAUGGGCAAGUAAAGGAGCAAGAUCCACUCACAUGAAGUUGGAAAGUUCUAGAUCUUAAGGUGGAGAGGUGGAAAAUGGAGUUUUGAGGCAAGGAGAUGAUGGUGAAGGAAAUUCUAAGACAUGCAUGCUAGAUUAACAAAAAUUUUUAUGCAGCAGAAGAGAUUUAAUCUAACAUACAUUUUUGAAAUCACAUCUCAUAAAGCCAUAUCUAUCAUAUCCUUAAGAUCAAAAUAUAAAAUAAACUAACAUAACCAUGAAGAUCAGAUCUUCACCUUAGUGCGGAUAGAUAUUCAUCGCGAUUUGAUGAUCGUGAAUAUCUUUUCGGAUUCUUUGAAGAGCCGCACACGUGUCCAGCUUCUACAGAUAUCUAUGGAAAGGAUCUAGGGCGCUCUUCUUUAUUUUUUUCUCCAAAAAAUUAGCAUGCACCUUGCAGCAAGCGAAGGGAAGAAGGAAGAGAGAACUCCUUUUCUCUUGGCAUGGAGAUGUGACGCCCAACCAACCUUGGGCAUGGAGAUAGGUGGGACCCAAACCUUUAGGAAUAAGGG
rnacentral:lncRNA from 1 species